AUGUCGGCCUGGAACCGGCCUGACUCCCCUCAAGAUAGGCACCGGGGUGGCGGCCUCAAGACGGUCUACAUGGAUGAACUGCCCCAGCUGAAUUGUGUCGCUCAAUAUGAGGUCAUGCUGGUCCUCCGGCAGGGAAACGUAGGUCGCGUGCGAGGAAUCAGACACCUUGAGGUAGAACCCCUGGUUGGUGAAGAGAUCGCUGCCAGCAAGCGCCGGAACAAUGCUGACGACCUGAAGAAGGGACGACCGGUGCUCGCCCGCGACUUUGACGUCGCUGUUCAUGUGCUGAAGGAGCUUGAGGAGGACCCCGGGCACAAGCGAAGCCAUUGCCGUAGCUCCCAAAGCACAUCAGCUGCACAUUAUUCAGCACAAUUCAGAAACGGCGAUCAUUGUAUUGAGAUAAAAAAAAAACAUGGAUGA
rnacentral:rRNA from 1 species